rnacentral:lncRNA from 1 species
CAGAGAUUUGCAUCCAUGAGCUCCAUUACUAUGUAGACAUCUUGAAAUUCUUCCAGGGAUUUCUGUGGUGUGAACACAUUCAGUAAGCCGAUUAUAUUUUUGUGAUUAACGCACUUCAUAAGAACAAGCUCUCUGUAGGCUCUUUUAGCAUGGGUUUGAUUCUGAAAUGGUCGGCUUAGUUUCUUGAUUGCAACGUUUCGCUCAAGGAUGGCAUCAUAGGCUGCACAUACUAUUCCUUGCGCUCCCGAUCCUAUUGGUUUUAAGUUUUGAUACCGUUUCAAUACAGUGAAUGUAGAAUCUCCAAUUUCAACACUGUAGAAAUUGUUGUCACGCUUGCUUCUGCUCAUGACGGCAACUUAGGUUGAUUGCUUCAUCCAAAUUCUGUUCCCAGCCACCUCCCGUCGCCUUCUGCCUCGGCCGCUGAAUAAUGAGCCAGGGCCGGGCCGCGCACACGCACCGCGCUUCGCCCGCCCGGCGCGGCUGCGGAUCCCCGC